AAGCUGUUAGCACAGAGACUGACCCGGGGCUCAAACCCAUGAACCGCAAGAUCAUGACCUGAGCUGAAGUCCGGCUCUCAACGGACUGAACUGCCUAGGCGCCCCCCUCCUAACUGGGUUUUAACUCACAAUCCAUCAAUUCUGGAUUCUUGGUCUCACUCAACUGGCUUCUGAUUGAGUUAUUCUCCAAGCAUAUCCAUGUCCUAAUUCCCGGAACCUGCGAACAUAUUCUUUUAUAUGGUACCAACGACUUUGCAGAUGUGAUUAAGUUAAGAUCCUGACGUGGGGAGGUUAUCCUGGAUUAUCUGGUUGGCCUGAUGUGACCACAAGGGUCCUUAAAGGGGGACACAGAAGAGUCAGAGAGGAAGGUGAUGUGAUGACAAAGCCAGAGAUGGGAAUGACAAGCUUUGGCGACGGAGGAAGGAGACACAGCCAACAAGCACAGGCAGCCACUAAAUGUUGAAAAUGACAAAAAAAAGGGGGGGGGGGGGAAGUGGGAUUCUUCCUCUUCCUCAGAGCCUCCAGAAGGAACCAGCCCUUCCAGCACCUGGACUUUACCUCUGAAAAGUGAAAUGGAUUUUGGACCUCGGACCUCUAGAACUACUAGAGAAUAAAGAUGCAUUGUUUUAAGUAACAAUGUGGUAAUUUGUUACAGUCCCAACAGGGAAUGAAUACAACUUCCAUCUGUGAGGGAACCUGACUUAGUAGAUCUCCUUGUGUUCUUGGAGAGGGUGAUGUAAUCUGAUUGGUAAAUUCCAGAAUAAUAAAUUGAGCAUGAAUGGCUUG